UAAGGAAAAAUCCCUUUAUCCCUCGAGAACGUCAAAAAUCCCUCGAAUCGGGAUAAAUCCCUCGAAUUGGCAACACUGGGCGAUAUGAAUGGAGAUGUAAGAUUUACAAUCCCACACCCCCAAUUCACACCUCCAUUCUAUGCUCCCAGUGUACCCUUAUGUUCGAAUGAGGGUAUGUUGCGAGUGAAGAAAUGCCUUACGAAUAGGAAAUGAAUGAAUGAAUUUAAUGUGGGAUGAAGAUGAUUAUGAGAGUGAGAGUUUGAAUGUGGUUGGAAUGAAAGUGAGAGUACUGUGAAGGACUCAGGAUGAGGAAGGAGUUUUGUUAGGGUUUAAGAGAGCAAGAGAAAGGGUGGAUGAGUAAGAAAAAGAAUGUGUGACAUGGCUGUGGUGGGUGAAAAGGUAAGAGUGGGAAUGAGUAUGUGUAUGGAAGGCAGGGGGUGAAAAUGAAAAUGUAAGUGUAAGAGUGAAAGAAAAUGGAUGUGUGAGGGUACAUAUGGGUGAAAGCUAGAGAAUAAAGUAGGAUGUGUAUAUGCAUAUAAGAACUGCAUGUGUAUGAGUGAAACGGAAGGAUUGAACGGGAUUGUAUGAAAGUCAGAAUGGGGUGUUUCGUGUAUGAGAGAGUCAAGGUGAACGAAGGUGUGAGAAUAGCGUAAUGAAUAGGGAUGCCUUACGAAUGGAGGAACGAAGGGUGGUGUCAGUGAAUGAAUCGACAAAAGAUUGCAAAUACGAAAGAUGGUGUGAGAAAGUAAAUCCUACAACUCCACUCAUUCAUCCACUAACAGAAUACCCCCAUUUGUAGAUGGGGUUAUGAGAGACGUACAAAUGGUGAUGUGUGUGUGAGAAAGAGGGAGAGAAUAGAGGUACAAAUGAGGAUGUGAGAAUGUAUUUUCAUAAGUGCACUCGCAAAAUACCCUCAUUCGUACAUGAGGGUACACUGCGAGUAGAGGAAUGAAUGGGGGUGUGAGUGAGAAGCGUGAAUGGUGUUGAACGAAUGAAUGAAGGUACGAAUGGGGGUGUGAGAUUGUAAAUUUCACAACUCCAUUCAUUUCGCCACUCUUAGCGUACCCUAAUAAAACGAGGGUAUUAUCAUGUACGAAUGAGGCUGACUGACGCUACGUCGCCAUUUCAUAAUUUGCAGCUUUACUUGGUUUUUUUAGCUGAAAAUUGCGUUUUAAUUUUCAUGUAUUGUUCAUUAAUAUUGCAGCUAAUUUGUUUUCUCUUGUUCUGUUUUACUGAUUAGCCUGUUAUUAAAAGCAUACUGAAGUUUCCUUGGAUAUUACUGAGCGUCCCCAAAUGGAUCGUGUACGGUGAUGUAUUCUUACUGCACUUCGUUUACCCUUGUCGUCUUCACAUGGAAAAAUUUGUUAGCUUUUUUGGGAAAAUUGUUAUGAAGGUAUAAAAAUGUAAUAAGCUAACAAUAGUAAAGGAGACAGACGAUUCUUAAUCAGAAAUAGCUAUUGAUUCAAAAGAAAAGUAAUGUAAAAAAUUGCAUGCCAAUGAAAAGAAAGGGAGUUCUAGUUGGCACAAGAAUGGAAAAAUUAACUGUGAAUAAAAGGUGCUUGCUAUUUUUUCGCAAGGAUUUUAUAGUUAAAACUUCCUUUCUUUUUACUGGCAUGCAAUUUGAAAACACGGACUUUUAUUUUUUUUUUCUUACUUCCAAAGCAAGGGUCCAUUCGAGCACUUUCAGUGCCUACUAGGCCUUAAAUCACCUUUAACUAUUUAAACGUUACAAAGGCAUGAUGUCACGAAAAAACGCAAUUUUUCUGAAAAUAAAAUUUUAAUUUUUACUAUGACCGGAAAGCUUGAAUCGGUCAAGAACCUUUUUAUCUUUCUUAUCAAUCCCAGUCCCGAUCUGUGGGUGUUUACAAUAUGUACGUGUUUACACAUUCUGAUUAGAUAAUUAAAUUCUUUCUUUAAGAAUUGUCGGAUUAAAUUUAAAAAUUAAUUUACAAUUUGAUGAAUUAAAUAGUGAAAAUUUUGUACGAAUUAAUACAUUUUGUAAAAUGUGUUUUUUUCUUAAGAAAAACUGCUUUGAAAAUAGUUCUAACUCAUGUACUGGCCUACCCUGAAUAUUAACUUAACCCGUAACGCAAGAUGCUUUGCUUAAUGCAAAACUUAUUAUGUGUUUAAAUCGUGAAAUGAACGAAUGAAACCAUAAAUACGCCAUUCAUAUGUUAACGAAGUGUCCACAUUAAUAUUAUUUUUAAUUAAUUUGCUUCGAAAGACUGUAUUAAUUUUUAGAAAUUGAUACAAGUAGUUAAAAUACACUAAGUUUUGCAGUUUUAUUGGGAUAAUUUUCUGUAAUGGUAUAUCAGUUUCUAUUAAUUUACGAAUUAAACUGAGUUAGUGUAAUUGAACGCAUCUAUGAAAUCAAUUAUCAAUGGAUUAUAGGUAUAGAAGAAGUUUUCAUCUAUGGGCUUCCGGCUCGUUUCGUUCAUUAUCUACGAACUACGAUCAUCAUCAAUCAUCAUUUUGUCUUCGCUUUUGGAAAGGAAGGCAUGUCACCAUUUUUGCGGUUCAUAAAUAGAAACGACACCUGAAGACUUGCUUUGAGAUGAUAUGCUUGGAUUCAAUGGACAAACUACUUGUAGCAACCAGACAUGUUUUUAUUUCCAAGAAUGGUUGUAAUGAGCUGGUCAAAAAAUUCAUGGGACACAGGGUGCUAACAAUGGUUUAUAUUAAAACAUAAUAAAUGUACAUGGAGAAGGUAAAUCAAAGGGGAAAUGUGGAGAAGCAAGGUCUCCAAUCAUGAUUCUUUCGCGUGGUUACGGAAAUGGGUCGUUUGUAGAAAGAGUAAGGGAUGCCAUUUAAACAUAUUAAAUGAAGAAGCAGACAAAAAGUAAAAAGGAUUCAAAACCUGGAGAAUUGGAGCCCCUUCAAUGUUCCCGUCCUUUGGCUGUGAAAGGUGCGAUUUUUAGAAAAUAUAUGCAGAGACACUUCUCUUUAUCAACGCUUUGGAAUAAAUCUGGAGUACCGUAGAGUAAUCUUCCAGAUCGUCUGACAAAUGGGAGAGAAUUAAAGUUCGGGUUGAUGGUACUGAAACAAUAUCUACAAUGGUGCUGCCUUUGGUGAACUACAAUCUUGAUUAGCUGUUUUCGUCUUCACCUUGUAACAUUAUGCAGUUAAUUUUCAAGGGAUGAGUGAGAGCAACUGGAGAUUUGCGAA